rnacentral:rRNA from 1 species
CUCGUGGGCGGCCAACUAAGUCGGACGUGAAAUCCCUCGGCUUAACCGGGGAACUGCGUCCGAUACUGGAUGGCUUGAGUUCGGGAGAGGGAUGCGGAAUUCCAGGUGUAGCGGUGAAAUGCGUAGAUAUCUGGAGGAACACCGGUGGUGAAGGCGGCAUCCUGGACCGACACUGACGCUGAGGAGCGAAAGCCAGGGGAGCGAACGGGAUUAGAUACCCCGGUAGUCCUGGCCCUAAACGAUGAAUGCUUGGUGUGGCGGGUAUCGAUCCCUGCCGUGCCGAAGCUAACGCAUUAAGCAUUCCGCCUGGGGAGUACGGUCGCAAGGCUGAA